AAAGUUUAAGCUACACUUCUCUUUCCCUUAAACCUAGCAUUACCAGUUCUAUCACCUGCAGCGUUCUUCUUUCGCCUUGGAGCAUUAACACCAGCAGAGUCGACCAAUGGGCCUGACCAAGUUUGUACUGGCUCCUUUGAACAAGUGAAUGAAGUGGAGCUAUAUGGGAUAUCAGGGGGAAUGACUGCUGGAUCAAAAUGUUGAGAUGAUCCUAAAGGAUAGCCAAGUGUCCCAUCCUGGUGAGGUGGAGGAAACUUCUCACUCUUGCUCUUUGCAUUCGCAUAGGUAAUUAGUCGUCUCCUCUGUGUUAGGAAGAAAAAAAAAAUGUUGUCAAUAAUUCAAGCAAGUCAUCAAGUGUAAAUAAAACUCAAAUUGAGUGUCCGAUUCAAUGAAAUGUCUCUAGAAUUGGCAUUGUCAUUAACACUAAUGCAGAUUAUUAGAUACUCGAUAUCGGAUGAUAGUACCUUACAACUAGCACACAUGGAAUAUAUGUUGCUUCAGCUUAUAUGAUGAAAUAGCAAUUCCAUAAACUAAAGCUCGUUCGUAAGUGAAAUGAUAACUUAUGACUUCCCAACUGGCAUUGGUGCAUGGAUUCUUUUCAAAUCCAAUGGCAACGGGGAGGAGCCAGAAAGCACAAAUAAUAUAGUACUGCUGCUCUCUGCUUAAUGCUAACUUGAUUUAUUUGGUUAUUUCUUGAAUGAUAAAACUAAAACCACGGUGCAUAAUCAUCCAAGAAUUUGCAAGUGAAAGCAACUGCACAAAAAUGAAAACAAUGGUGCACAGACAUACAUCAAUAUUAGAUUGAAGCUCGGCAUUGGAUUCUGGAGCAGGCAUUGCCCUAACAGCACGAUCGCGUGUCCGUGUUUUCUUUACAUUUUCACCCUGGGCCUUUGCAGCAGCUCUUUGUCUGCAAAACAUGAAUAAAGUUUACAUAUUAACAAGAGAGAGACACUAAGUAGACAUGUUAUACAAACACAAGAGGUACAAAAUCCAGGUGUGUAUAUAUAUAUAUAUAUAUAUAUAUAAGAAUGAAUUUGUCAAGGUAUCUGUUGAAAAAAUUGAAGUUGCCACUUAAAAGAAACACUGAAAGAAAGAAAACAUAAGAAUGGAGAUUUCUUUUUUCCACUAAUUUAUGAAGUAGUUGGUUGGUUCUCAACACAAUAAACUUUAAAGAAAAGAAUCAUCAAAAUAUACACAUCAAUUUUCUCGCCGUCCCAAUAGAAAGAACUGAAAAUUUUCUAUAAUAAAAAUGGACACAGAAGUAUAGAAAAUGAAUUCAUUCCCAGGUACAUUUUUAAGUAAAACAAUAACAUCUUUUGCACUCGUGAAGAAGCCAAGCAUGUGUAUGAAAUACCAGUGUCUCUUUUUGCAGUGUACAGGAGAUUUCCAGUUUGGCCAGUAUGUAUGCACUGAAAGUUUAAGCUACACUUCUCUUUCCCUUAAACCUAGCAUUACCAGUUCUAUCACCUGCAGCGUUCUUCUUUCGCCUUGGAGCAUUAACACCAGCAGAGUCGACCAAUGGGCCUGACCAAGUUUGUACUGGCUCCUUUGAACAAGUGAAUGAAGUGGAGCUAUAUGGGAUAUCAGGGGGAAUGACUGCUGGAUCAAAAUGUUGAGAUGAUCCUAAAGGAUAGCCAAGUGUCCCAUCCUGGUGAGGUGGAGGAAACUUCUCACUCUUGCUCUUUGCAUUCGCAUAGGUAAUUAGUCGUCUCCUCUGUGUUAGGAAGAAAAAAAAAAUGUUGUCAAUAAUUCAAGCAAGUCAUCAAGUGUAAAUAAAACUCAAAUUGAGUGUCCGAUUCAAUGAAAUGUCUCUAGAAUUGGCAUUGUCAUUAACACUAAUGCAGAUUAUUAGAUACUCGAUAUCGGAUGAUAGUACCUUACAACUAGCACACAUGGAAUAUAUGUUGCUUCAGCUUAUAUGAUGAAAUAGCAAUUCCAUAAACUAAAGCUCGUUCGUAAGUGAAAUGAUAACUUAUGACUUCCCAACUGGCAUUGGUGCAUGGAUUCUUUUCAAAUCCAAUGGCAACGGGGAGGAGCCAGAAAGCACAAAUAAUAUAGUACUGCUGCUCUCUGCUUAAUGCUAACUUGAUUUAUUUGGUUAUUUCUUGAAUGAUAAAACUAAAACCACGGUGCAUAAUCAUCCAAGAAUUUGCAAGUGAAAGCAACUGCACAAAAAUGAAAACA
rnacentral:lncRNA from 1 species